GACGAACGCUGGCGGCGUGCCUAAUACAUGCAAGUUGAGCGCUGAAGGUUGGUACUUGUACCAACUGGAUGAGCAGCGAACGGGUGAGUAACGCGUGGGGAAUCUGCCUUUGAGCGGGGGACAACAUUUGGAAACGAAUGCUAAUACCGCAUAAAAACUUUAAACACAAGUUUUAAGUUUGAAAGAUGCAAUUGCAUCACUCAAAGAUGAUCCCGCGUUGUAUUAGCUAGUUGGUGAGGUAAAGGCUCACCAAGGCGAUGAUACAUAGCCGACCUGAGAGGGUGAUCGGCCACAUUGGGACUGAGACACGGCCCAAACUGCUACGGGAGGCAGCAGUAGGGAAUCUUCGGCAAUGGACGAAAGUCUGACCGAGCAACGCCGCGUGAGUGAAGAAGGUUUUCGGAUCGUAAAACUCUGUUGGUAGAGAAGAACGUUGGUGAGAGUGGAAAGCUCAUCAAGUGACGGUAACUACCCAGAAAGGGACGGCUAACUACGUG
rnacentral:rRNA from 1 species